rnacentral:tRNA from 1 species
GGUAAAGUGCCGGAUAAAACGGACCGUGAUGAUGCUACGUAAUAUGGGAGAUAGCUCCUCUUUGCCU